rnacentral:tRNA from 1 species
GGGUUGUGGCUUAGUGGUAGAGCACUUGCUUAGCACGUGUGAGGCACUGGGUUUGAUCCCCAGCCCCA